rnacentral:ncRNA from 1 species
UUUAAAAAAAGCGCCAGACGCACGGAUGCGGCCGAUUUUAGGAACUGGGGCCGUUCGUGACAGCAUCCGAAGCGUGACGAGGUGGAGGGUGAUCGAAGACUUCGGCGGAUGCCCUCCCGGCUGCUGCGGGCAGUCGACAGGCGGCGUACAAAAGCGCGGUGCGGCUUUUCG